rnacentral:rRNA from 1 species
CUACGGGGUGCUGCAGUCGAGAAUCUUCCGCAAUGGACGAAAGUCUGACGGAGCGACGCCGCGUGCGGGAUGAAGGCCUUCGGGUUGUAAACCGCUGUCAGUGGGGAGGAAAUGCAUCAGGGUUCUCCCUGGUGUUUGACCGAUCCGCAGAGGAAGCGCAGGCUAAGUUCGUGCCAGCAGCCGCGGUAACACGAACUGCGCGAACGUUAUUCGGAAUCACUGGGCUUAAAGAGUUCGUAGGCGGCCUUUCAAGUCGGGUGUGAAAUCCCUCGGCUCAACCGAGGAAUUGCGCCUGAUACUGUUGGGCUUGAGGGGGAUAGGGGUGAGCGGAACUGAUGGUGGAGCGGUGAAAUGCGUUGAUAUCAUCAGGAACACCGGUGGCGAAGGCGGCUCACUGGAUCUCUUCUGACGCUGAGGAACGAAGGCUAGGGGAGCGAACGGGAUUAGAUACCCGAGUAGUC